UGGGCUAUGGCCAAGUGGUUAAGGCAUCGGACUUUGACUCCGUGAUCCCAAGUUCAAAUCUUGGUAGCCCAGCCA
rnacentral:tRNA from 1 species